rnacentral:lncRNA from 1 species
UUAUCGUACUUACCCUUUUCUUUUGUGGCCUAAUGAUACAUUGAGCUGAGGUCAGUAAUUGCCCACUGGGAACUAUAAAUUAUAGUUCUCACGUCCUCUGUUUUAUAUUUUUGUUUUCAGAGCCUUUCACGCCGGGAGAGGCUAGGGACCGCGGGAAAGGAAUUGCCUCGAGCUAGCUUGCUUUGAGGGACGUGUCGAUAGGUGGUCUACCUCUCGUUGUUUUCUUUUGGAGAUGUUGAGAGUUGUAUCCAUGUAUAGAGACCACCCUUUUGUGUACCUUUUUGGAGAUGGUUAUUGUAUAACUCUAUGUUUUACCUUUAUUGUUUAGUUACGCUUUAUUUACUUUUGUUACAGAUGAUAGAUGUAUAUUUGCUCUGAUAUCUCUAGUUGUAGAUCAUCUUUUGGUUUUAUUUUUCGCUGUUAUUGUAGACGCCUUAUAUGUGCUGACAUAUGGCGGGUCUGGGCGCGCCACCGGGAGGGCCUCCGCCGGUCCCAGGGCGUGACAAAUUAUUUCUUCACAAUCUCGUCCAACUGACACAGCCAAUGAACAUUAUCUUUUUAUAAAAAAACGGCUGCAAUACAGCAAACAAUCAAGUAUAUAUCCAAGCUUUCAAAUUAUAACAUAUUGUAACAAAAAAAAAAAAAAUUAAGUAUUUAUAUAUUUAUUUUCUUA